AAAAUAAUUUGGCAGUGAGCGACUCUUUUUAGGGGAAGGUGUGGUGUAAAGGAUGUUCCGCCUAAUAAUUUACUUUCGUUAUGUUGGUGUAUAUCUGGUUUAAUAUUAUCGUUGAGUAAGUGAGUUUGUGUAGUUUUAUUUAAGCCAAGUCUAUGUGCUGCUUAUGAAAGUAUUCAUGCGUUACAUUUAUAAGGUUUUGGUUGUAAUACUAAAAUAUUUAGGACUUAAAAGUAAUGUUCAAUAAGUUUGUGAGUGUGAAGUAAGUUUAGCUCAGGUACACACCGCC
rnacentral:rRNA from 1 species